CCUUCGCAACUGGAUGACUCUGAAGCUCCUUGAGUUUCCCACUUCUUCUGCUGUAUGGGAAAACUGAGCUGCUGAACUUGGAGGUUUGUGCACACUCCUUAAUUCUAUUCCCAGUCUUCCUGUAAACCCUAGGAAAGAUGUGGAAGUUGGUGAGGACUGUCUACGGAACCUGACUUACAAAGAAAGAGUACACAGCUCCCAAGCCUCGCUCAAGGACAGUGCUGCACACCUCCCUCCCAGAGUACACAUGCCGUUGGAUGACCCAGAGCAGUGGCUGCAUCUUUAUCCCCACGAUGUGGGGAUGCAGAUGGGCUGAGGCUGUGGAUGUGGAUGUGGCAGGCGUGGAUGGGGACCCGGAAGUAGACUUGGAUGUGGAAAGGAUUAUGCAGGUGGUGUGAGUGUUCCCUGGGCUUCAGCAGGUGAAGAAACUACCUGCCAUGCAAGAAACACAGAAGAUGCAGGUUCAAGUCCCU